rnacentral:rRNA from 1 species
GCGUGAGUGAAGAAGGCCUUAGGGUUGUAAAGCUCUUUUACCAGGGACGAUAAUGACGGUACCCGCAGAAUAAGCCCCGGCUAACUUCGUGCCAGCAGCCGCGGUAAUACGAAGGGGGCUAGCGUUGUUCGGAAUCACUGGGCGUAAAGCGUGCGCAGGCGGAUUGAUUAGUCAGGGGUGAAAUCCCGGGGCUCAACCUCGGAAUUGCCUUUGAUACUGUCAGUCUCGAGUCCGGGAGAGGUGAGUGGAAUUCCUAGUGUAGAGGUGAAAUUCGU